CAGCCGGCCGCCCCGGCGCCCCGCGUGCGUCGCUCUUCUGUCCCGUGUCCGACGCUGCCCUUGGUCUGCACAAGCAGCAGGCCCUGGCUGUGACACCGGCCACAUGGUGACAGAGGGCACAGGCCCUGUCUUUGAGAACCCGGGGCUGGGAAAGAGGCAUGUGAAGAGAUGAUUAAGGUACAGACGAGGAAGGUCAUGGCGAAAGAAACAACAGCUGUGGGAUCGCAGGUCUGAGUGACCGCCUGGCCACCUUCUCAGGGUGUCUCUGUCUGCCUCCCUCCGGCAGCUCCGUCCAGAAGCCUCUGGACCAGAGUCACCCCUCCUCCCUCCCUCUCUGUCUUCCCAACCCCAAUCUGGCAGGAAGUCUGCAGUCUGAAGAGGCACCAGAACCGGCCUCUGCUGGCACCACCAUGUCAGACUUCCAGCCUCCAGAACCGUGGGAAUACAUUUCUGAUGUUCGUAAGCCACCCCACCUAUGGUGCUUUGUUAGAACAGCUCCAGCUGGCCAACCCACAAGGAUCCUCAAAGCCCUGGAGGACCUCGUUCUUUCCUCCUCAUUUCCUGCUUGCCUUGGAAUGGGACGCCAGGUCGAUGCCAAAGAGAGACAGCUUGUUGACCAGAACACGAGAGGCCCUGGCCUCUCCAACACAGAACAGCCAGAGCAGAACAUUCUUUUCCUUGAACAGUGACCAAGUGCGUGAGGAAAUCCCUAUU